ACGUGCAUGCAAAGUAGAGAAUCUACACAUCCAGAUCUCCGUGAAGGUUAAUAUCAGAUAAUUUGAGAUUUGAUCCCUGAUUCCACUACAUUUCAAGUAAGAAUUUGAUCAUUAAAUAAGUAAAAUAUUAAAAAAAAUUUAGAUGCAACCUGGGCAUCUCAGAGGAAAACUAUUUCCCUUCCCUUCACCUUCUCCAAAAACAAGCAGCAGUCUGGAUUGGAGUAGUCAAAGAUAUUGCUAGCAGCUAGCACAGAGAAACAUGUGGAGAGAUGCAACGCAGUCUGGAUUGGAUAG
rnacentral:lncRNA from 1 species